CCAAUGUAGUGGGUCCAACCAGCAUUAAAAAAGAAAGAAAGAAAGAAAGAAAGAAAGAAUAGAAAAUAUCAGAGUACAUAACAAGUAGUAAAGGAAGUCACCAUCUUCGGUGGGGACCUUUCUCAGACAAUCUAUUCUUCCACAAUUCUCCUUGAGCAACCAAGAUAUUAACGGGGAAGACUUGAAGUUUCUAUGCUGCUUGAUCCAGAAUUUUCUCACCAUGGAUGUGGGGUUCUCACCUUUGAAGGAAAUGGAAACGGUACAAACCAGCAUUUGAGUGAAUGAACACUGAAAAUGCAUGCUGCAACCAACCACUGGAUCAGGUUGGAUAAUUGUUUUCCUCAAUCCUAUGACAAAAAGAGUUGGAGGCGUCAGGAAGAGCAAGAACAAUUUGGCUCUCAGUGAAUUUUUAAUAAACAAUGUGUUGCAUCAAGAACAAUUAAAUGCUUUUAAAUGUAAGAUAAUUUUACUUAGACAAAUGGUUUUUGAGAAGUACUUUCAAGACAGA
rnacentral:lncRNA from 1 species